rnacentral:rRNA from 1 species
GACGAACGCUGGCGGCGUGCUUAACACAUGCAAGUCGAACGGAAAGGCCCUGCUUUUGUGGGGUGCUCGAGUGGCGAACGGGUGAGUAACACGUGAGUAACCUGCCCUUGACUUUGGGAUAACUUCAGGAAACUGGGGCUAAUACCGGAUAGGAGCUCCUGCUGCAUGGUGGGGGUUGGAAAGUUUCGGCGGUUGGGGAUGGACUCGCGGCUUAUCAGCUUGUUGGUGGGGUAGUGGCUUACCAAGGCUUUGACGGGUAGCCGGCCUGAGAGGGUGACCGGCCACAUGGGGACUGAGAUACGGCCCAGACCCCUACGGGGGGCAGGAGUGGGGAAUAUUGCACAAGGGGCGGAAGCCUGAUGCAGCAACGCCGGGGGGGGGAUGGCGGCCUUCGGGUGGUAACCAGCUUUCGCCUGUGACGAAGGGGGAGGGACGGUAAUUGGUAAAGAAGCACCGGCUAACUACGU